UCAUUUAAAGUCUUUCUUUUUCAAGCAUACAGUUCCAUUUCUAAACUUUAUAAUUGAAAGGUCAAUUCAUACUUGCUUACUGUUGAUUGAUCCAUAAGACUAGAAUUAAAUAUCUUCACGGUUCCCCUGGUUCUUUUACGUACCAGGUGCAAAACACCCACACACGGGACAUUAAAGCCAAUGUUGUAAUUUUGGUUGGAUGAGCGAGGGCUCAAACUCACGACACUUAGUUUCGUUGUCAGACAGUGUUACCACUGGACCACUGCGUCCGCUCUUACUGUUAUAUUACGGCCUCGUUCUGAUAUGUAGCCACGUGAAUUGGUACAUUAGUAAAAAUAGCAAUCGUCUAAUUCUAAAGUUACGGUCUUAUUUGUGUCAAGGUUAUUUGUCAGUGUGCCAAUCUGUGUAAAUAAGAAUGCGCAAGCACUUGAGAAUGUGUCGUAUUUUUUCCAUGGGUUUAGGUAUUUUUUUACCUUUACGCAUGUUCUAAUUUUCAUUCAUCUAUUUCAUUUCGGUGUGUGGCAUUAAUAGUUUGUUGUGUUAAGUGUCAAACCGACACAGUUCAGUUUAGAUUUUAUGGCAACUUUUUCAGCUUUGAUUCUGAAGGAAGAUCCCCGUGCCUCUCCGAACAUUCAUGGUACUGGCAGGCACUUUGGUGGAAAUACCAAACUUCUAGUAGCCAGCUGUAUGCCUUCCUUGCAUGAACAAUUCUGUACCCAGGGUUUCGAACCCAUUUAGUGAGAAGUAGGUGGUUCAAAUCAGCAACCUUAACCACUCUGCAACGGAGACCGCUGACAUUACUCGUCAAUAAAUCAUUUCUGAUAAUUGUAAAUAGUUCAAGAGAUUUUGGUUAAAUGUAUUGUGUCACAAUAACUUACGUGUCUACAAAAACAUUCUGAAAGUUUAAGUAGAACGUCUUGAAGCAUUCAGCACAAAAAGCAAAAAGUGCCAUAAACCGGGCUACUGCGUAGUAUUACUGCAACGAGUAUGAUUAAAUGGGACAAGGCAUGCGCCUCAACUGACGAAUCAAUAACGGCUGAAAUGUGUGCAGGUAAGAUUAUUACAUUUUAUAUUUAAUCCACAAUAAAUGUUAUAACAACUAUUAUAUUACUAAUUCUAAAGUUAAAUUAUUUAUCGACAAAAGCAUGCAAACUCAAUGUUCUAUGUCUUCCAAAUACACAUGUUUUGUAAUGAUAUCUGUAAUUAGAUUAAGUUGUUUACUCUUGAUAUUUUCAGGCAUUUCAUAUACCACUUUAAAUAUAAAUGAAUGUAAUUUCCAUUUAUUAAUAAGCAUUUUCUUUAGAGGUGUGCGUUUACUUUAACAGUCUGAUUGUUCCGGGGUUGUUUUUUUUUUCAAUAUAAUUCAGCUGUUUAACUUUUGCACAUUCAGUUACUUUGAAUAGAGACAACAAAUUUGUCCUUGCAUUAUUGAUUAGUUAACCUACUUAUCAUACAAAAAAAAGACUUGUGGAUUGUUCUGUUCAAUUAUUUCAGUUCGAGAUUUUUAUGAACCAACCAUGCUUCUUUAUUUAGUAACAUAAUCAAUAAUUUUGUUAGAUAAAGAAAUAUAUAGUACCGAUUAUAAGUCAGGACAGGUUAAUUACAGUUUACAUUAACAGAACAGAGGAUCAUUAUAUUUAUAUCACCGACAGUGAAUUUCUGGAAAAUCUGAGCAAAAAAGGUCUUAAAAAACAUAAACAGGACAAGUAUUUACAAAAAGAAUGGGGUGAAACAAUAAAAAAAGUUACAAAAAAAGAAAUUUAAUACCAACAACCAGAAAUCGUCACCAAGAAAAAUCAAGAAGAACAAAGAUAAGAAAACCACUCCAUCAUUGCAUAAGGAAAAUAACUCAUCUAUUUCUAUGGAUGUUUUAGAGCAGGUGAUAGAACAGUCGGUCCGGACCGCUAAUCUGCAAAAACAGUUAAUUGAAAGCCAGACAGCACAAGUAGAUUUACUACUGUCAGCAAAUAAUCUUGUAAGAGACAAAAUCAAACCAUAUGGUAACUGCUUUUUUGAAACUAGCGGGAAGCAAAUUGGCACAGAACCCUCUCAUUUAAGGCAGGAACUGUGUAAGUGUCUUGAAGAGAAUAUAGAAGAAUACAUUUCAUUUAUGUUAAACCGUCAUCACCCAGAUGAUGAGGAAACAUUUGUGGCUGAUUACUUGUCAGAAAUUGAAAAACUGAAAGUUGAUGGGUAUUGGACAAGUGCUGUGGCAGACCUUUUUUCCAUUAGUACUGGCAAAUUACUCAAAGUGCAAUGUUAUCGUCUACACAAAUAAUGUUGAACAGCCAAUCAUUACAAUUAAACCAACCAAAAAUGAUUCACUUGCCAUUCCAGUGUAAAAUUGGUUUAUACAUCAAUUCGGGUAAUUUUGCAACACUACGAUGGAUGCCUUGAAAUUCAAGACUCUGAUAAAUACUUUGCCUCUCCAUUAUCAGAUGAACAUUCCGACAAACAGGAAUAGAACAAGAAUACACCCACCACCAAUGAUAAAACAACUUCACCGAAAGGACCUACACCAAGAAAAAAGGCAGUUUUUAUAACGCCUGAGAAGAAGUUCCAUACUAGAAAGAGAAAAGCAACACCAGAAACAUGGAAAAAAAAAUAUUAGAAAAAAGUUACGGCUGUCAGGUGCAGAGUAUACAUCAGCAGAUGGAAAGCCCAAGGCCGCUAGGUCGGUAGAGCCAGUAGACUGUAGCAAGUGCAGACAGAAAUGUGACACAAAAAUAACAAUAGAACAAAGGCUACAGCUCUUUGAAUCAUUUUGGUCAUUGUCAAGUAAUGAGAGACAGAAAGAUUAUGUUUGUAAACAGAUAGAAGAAACAGACACUAAAACAUAUCUAGACAAAGAUGGAAAGCCAAAUCAAAAACGAAAGCAGGUGUCAAGAAAGUUUUAUUUUGAAAUUGAAAGUAAAAAGUGUUCUGUCUGCAAGACGUUCUUUAUGAAAACGUUGUCAAUCGGUAAGGCAUAUAUUGAUCAUGCGUUGAAAAACAAAAAGGACGGACAUUUUACAGGCAGUGAUUUAAGAGGAAAACACGAGCCUCAUAACAAACUUUCCCCAAGCAGAAUAGAUGCAGUGAAAAAGCAUAUUGAAUCUUUCCCACGUAUAGGUGCUUAUUAUGUUCGAAAGGAGACAAAGAGACAAUUCCUUGGGCCACAUCUUACACUGCCAAGAAUGUAUGACCUCUAACUGGAGGAGUGCAAGAAAAAUAAAACAAAGCCAGUUUUAUUGGAAAGAUACAGAAAUGUUUUUAAUACAAAUUACAACCUUUUUUUUCAUGUACCAAAGAAGGACCAGUGCAACACAUGUAAUCAGUAUUACACAGCACAGCGAGAAGGUAAAAUGACAAAUGAACAACAGAAUGUUUUCGACAAACAUCAGCAAAGGAAAAAGCAUCAGAAGUGGCUACCUGUCUAAAGCUACAUCUCCAAUCACUUCCAGCAGAAACAGACCAUGUGGCUUUGUACUCGGAUGCUUGUGGUGGACAAAAUAGAAAUAAAAUCAUAGCAGGUUGCUUACUGCAUUUGGUGAAUACCAUUCCAAACAUAAAAAUAAUAGACCAUAAAUUUCUAGAAAGCGGCCACACACAGAUGGAGGUGGAUUCAAUGCACGCAGCUGUCGAAUUUGCUAAAAAGAAAACCAUGAUCUUUGUUUCGUCACAGUGGGACACAGUUAUUCAUAUGGCUAGAAGGAAAAAGCCCUAUAAGGUUGUGCCACUAAAGUACACUGAUAUCAUAGAAUUUAAACAAUUUCAGAGUAACAGUACAAAGGUACAGAAAAACUCGGAAACAGGAACCAAGGUAGUCUGGUCAAAAAUGAAGUGGCUCAGAUAUACUAAGGAAGAGCCUGAUGUCUGUUUUUUUCAAAUACGAUUUUGAUGAUGAAUUUGAAAAAUUGAAAGUUUGGCUCUAGAAGACAACAAACAAAUCCUGUUGUAUCUCUACCAAUGAAGUAUCAUUCUGCCGCAAAGAAAAAAGGAUCUAUUGCAGCUGUGCAAGAGUGGUACUAUUCCUGAAGAAUUCCAUGAAUAUUACAAGGCUUUACCAGCAAAAAACAGUAUCAGAGAUUGUUUGCCAGAGCCAGAUGCCCUUGAAGAUGCAAGUAACGAUUCUGACAGUAACUAACUAUAAGUGUCAGAUUUACUACUACAUUUCAAAUGUGACUGACAAUGUGACAGUGUGUGAUUUAAGACAAAUUCUAAACAUGCUAAAUGUGUGUAUUAAGCUUUAUUCAAGUGCUUAUAUUGCAUAAUAUUACAUAAAAUGUAUUAUGAAAUUCACUAAAUUGUUAUAGAUGAUUCUUGUUACUUGAUGAAAAGACAGUCUAAGAAGAGCAGCCAAAUGGAGGCAUUUACAUAUAGGCCAUUUUUGACUUGAAAAGUCUUAAUCUAAGAAAAAGAAUGCAUCCUGCCAUAAUAAUCUAUUUUUCUAUAGAAUAUUUUUGUUUCCCAAAUAACUUACAUUUAUGUCAACAUUGCAUAUGCCAGAGGAUUCUGUUGCUUUAUAGAAUGUUUUUGACACUUACAAAAACUGUGAUAUGCAACAUCUUCACCAGCUAUCAGUUUAUAGCAUGUUCUGGCUCAGUACUGUUUCGAAAGUUAUAAUGGAAUCAUACAUGCCAAAACCAGAUAUCUUUCAAUGGAAUGUUUUGGUUAUUUAGUAUUUUGCAAAAAAAAAUGGACUUUAAGUUGUGCCAAAACAAUUUUUUCGAAUUUGACCUAAUUAACUAAAGACAUGUACAAAAUACAUAUAUCAUGUAUUAAAUAAUACUAUCGUAAAUAAUACUAUAGUUUUUAUAUCUCAAAAACACUUACUAUAAAAGAGAAGCAACAAAAAAAUGCUCUCCUGUAAAAUUUUAAGAAAUGGACAUAGCAGGUUCUGGCACUUACCCCUCGAUAUAGCAUGUGAAGUUGUACAUCUGACUUUAAUCUGACUUAAAAGUAUGCUUUUAAGCGAUUCGAUCGCACUUGUUAGAGGGAGAUAAAUAUGAAAUGACAUCAACAUUUGUUAAUGAUUCAAUCAAAAUAAAAUAUCUUUGCAAAUUAUCAGAAGAACAUUCUGAAAUGAGUAAAUCAUCAUAGAUGAUUUUAAGUUUCUUAUGGCCUUUAACAGUUAUGUGUUUAAAUUCAAUACUACAUGUAUACACGACAUUCGAUCCACGAGUCGAGUUUUAAUUUGUAGAGAUGCUCAUAAUAAAUGAAAACUUGUUACAUAUAGUGCAAAAUGAGGUAUUACAUGAACAAUAAUUCUCUUUGUUCUAGAUGAUCAGUUUGAAAAUUCACUUAUUAGAACUUUUUUGUAUAUUUUUAAUAUUUCUGUUUUUGUUUGACUAAACAGAAAUGCUGUGUCAACGUUUUACUUUGUACAACUGUAGUAGAACUUUUUACCCUUAUCACAUUGGUGAUAUACUAGCGGGAAAUUAGGAAAGAACUUUUGGCACCUAAAAACCAACAAAUGUGUUUCCCCUGGGACAAAUUUAUACCAGCUAAAGACGAAGAAUUGUGCCCAGAUGGCUUACUCCAUGAAUAUAAAAAAAUGCAAAAUGUCACCAUGUGUUGUGGAGAAUCUGAUGCAAUCAUUAACAGAUUGAUGGUCAAAUGAGCUUCAAAUCAUUCAGUAUAAUCUCGAGAUGUCGUUUCAGAUAGGUAUAACAGUAACUUUAAUCCUGAAAUGACAAACCUCAACCUGACAAAUUACAACUGUGGUGUAAAUAAAGGGAAGCAACCAGUAGCAAAACUUGUUGGACUGUCUACAGACAGAAAGCCUGUUCCAGAUGGAAUGUCCUUUAAAAUAUUUUGGAAUUCACAUUCGCCGUCGCACGCAUUGUCAGGACUGAAACACAUACACCACGACGGUACAGUUUAUGUUGAUCAGACCGGUUUCUACUACAUAUUCUCUCAAAUCAAAAUAAAACUUACUCAGAAAAAUGCAACGGACCACACAAAUGACCAAAUUGUCCGACAUUCUGUCCAUUUGAAUUCCCACAAAGGAAAUGGAGUUACACUUCUUGAAGAUGCAACAUCUCAGUGUGACAUUAUGACAGAAGAAUCAGAAGCAACCAGUAUUAUCGGAGGAGUCUUCAAACUGGAGACAGGGGACAAUGUUUAUGUUGCGACAUCACAUCCUGAUCGUCUGUCGGCUGACCUUUAUAACAGCCAUUUCAGCAUACAUAGCAUCUGAGUUGAAGCCCUUUCAGGAGGCAAUUUUGAUCGACAUAUGGAACAAUUUAAAAUGUUUUCAAGUUAUGGUAUAGGAAUAUACUAUAUGGAUCAUCAUUACUGGAUGACGAGUUUCUACUUUGAUACAAUUAAUAUUCAGAAACUUUCAGGUGCAUAAUGAGCUGGUUGAGUCCAUGCUUAUGAAUAUGGUUUCAAAUGUUAUUUUUUAUAAUUAUUUUCAUUAUUUUAUAUGGUUUACAAAUCGUGCGUUUUGUUUCCAUUGCUUUUGUGAUUCCAAAGAAAGUAAUAGUCAUUAUUCACACUGUCCUAAACUUUGGAACAUUGGGGUGCACUGUCGAGUAACUUUGGGACAUAUGAGGCUUGGUGGUGCGCACCAUUUACCGGGUUAAACUCUCUGCUGACCGUGCGAAUGUGGUGCCCACUGUGUAUUUAUUUGUUUUUCAUUGUUGAAUAUUUGACUUGUCUGCGUAUUUCUGUGUAAAUAUCAAUCAUUUUGUUAGAAAGUCCAAGCGUGCACAUCUAUAAAUAAAUUCCAUAUUCAGAA